rnacentral:rRNA from 1 species
UACAGAGGGUGCGAGCGUUAAUCGGAAUUACUGGGCGUAAAGGGUGCGUAGGUGGUUACGUAAGUUAGGUGUGAAAUUCCUGGGCUUAACCUGGGGACUGCGCCUGAUACUGCGUGGCUAGAGUAUUGUAGAGGAAAGUGGAAUUUCCGGUGUAGCGGUGAAAUGCGUAGAGAUCGGCAGGAACACCCAGGGGGAAACCAGCCGACUGGGCAAGUGCUGACGCUGAGGUGCGAGAGCGUGGGGAGCGAACCGG